rnacentral:rRNA from 1 species
GUGUCAGCAGCCGCGGUAAUACGUAGGGGGCUAGCGUUGUCCGGAUUUAUUGGGCGUAAAGAGCGUGUAGGCGGCUUGGUAGGUCUGCUGUGAAAACUCGAGGCUCAACCUCGAGCGGUCGGCGGAAACCACUUGGCUAGAGUCCGGAAGAGGAGAGUGGAAUUCCUGGUGUAGCGGUGAAAUGCGCAGAUAUCAGGAAGAACACCUAUGGCGAAGGCAGCUCUCUGGGACGGUACUGACGCUGAGACGCGAAAGCGUGGGGAGCGAACAGGAUUAGAAACCCGUGUAGUCC